UACGAGAGGCCCAAACGUUAUUCGGAAUUACUGGGCUUAAAGAGUUCGUAGGCGGCGCAGAAAGUAGGGUGUGAAAGCCCUCGGCUCAACCGAGGAAUUGCGCCCUAAACUACUGUACUUGAGGAACCUAGAGGUGAGCGGAACUGAUGGUGGAGCGGUGAAAUGCGUUGAUAUCAUCAGGAACACCGGAGGCGAAGGCGGCUCACUGGGGGUUUUCUGACGCUGAGGAACGAAAGCCAGGGGAGCGAACGGG
rnacentral:rRNA from 1 species